CAUGACCAGUUGGGUUUCGUUCUGUAAAUAAGGCUCACUAGCCCACCCCCAACUAACAAUAUAAGCAUCGAUUGCACCAACACAUGUAUCAAAGGAAAUUAUUUCAGGGCAAAUAUAUCCAGACAGAUAAGUGUCUGAAGCCGUUUAAUGUGUGGGUCCCACACAUGCAAGUAAAAUGAGACAUCCCAAAUUGGUUCAAAAGCCAGCUGCCUCAGUAUUUUGGAAACAAAUAAAAUGAGCCACGGAGCGGACAAUCGUAUCAAUCAGCCCUACCAUGCCUAAAAGGUUCCCAUUUUUCUUAAUAUUUCAGAACCCAGAUAUCACACUAAGGGGGAAAAGUUGCAUUGAAGAAGAGAUUUCAUGAACCUAGGUUCUUCAGCAUUAUAGCAAAAGAUUUGAGAAUGAAUUAUAUACACCAGAUCACAGCUGGGAGUCGCAUUAGAAAGAGGACCAGACCAUUUGUGUCACACAUCAAUGCUAUGUUCAAUCUGGGAUAUGUGAAGCAAACAUCCAAACGGUUUUUACGAGCAUCUCUUAUUCUUCUAACUCCUCCCAAAAAAGGUAACUAAUCUUCUAUUUCAUUGUCCUUUGGCUUUGCACCAUACCCUUUUUCUUUUUCCUCCAAAAAUCGAAGAUUAAAAAACACUAAAACAGCAAAAGUUCGUAAAUUUCCCACCUGAGUUAAAAACAAGAGAGAAAAACAUUGUGAAUAAUCUUUCAAUCUCUUUUAUAGCUUGUUACCUGUGGUGUUUAUGAAGGCCCAAGCAUCUUCCGUAAUCGAUUCUAAUUCUGUUGGGAAUUCUGGUCUACUUUCAGCAUCUUGUUUCUGACAUUUUUAUGAUCUAGAUAUACUACCGCUAAGGUACGUGAAAGCUCUUUUACUGCUCCUAUCUUGCAGAAUUUUCCUAAUUUCAACUCCACAAAGCCUCAAAAACAGAACAAAGUUUGCUUAUAACAUAAUGGUCCAUAGUUAAAACAUCUUAAGCAAAACUUCCAUUUUGAUUCUUCCAUAUUCCUUGUAUAACAAAACUAAAAUGUCUCCA